UCUCAGGUUGGGCAGUAAGGGUCGGAGAAGGGCAAUCAGGCCUCAAUGGUAAAAUCAGUCGGGGGGCCUGAGAGGC
rnacentral:tRNA from 1 species